rnacentral:lncRNA from 1 species
GGGGACCGAGCCACUGGUACCAGAGAAGGUGCUGCUUUUGUAGGGACAAAUCAAGCUUGCUGCAAAGUCAAGUGUGUGUCUGGGCCUCUGAAUGGUGGUAGUCUAGGUCCUGUGCCUGACCCCAGGUGGGUGGAGCUGGCAGGCUAUGCUGGUUACUCGAGGGAAGCACAGGGCUGCAGGGUGGGGCCAGGCUAACUUUCCUUUCCUGGUAAUGUGCCACGCUAACCUCAUUUCCUUUUUCUGAGGGGAAAUGCCAUUGACAUCACACAACUGGAUUUCCAGCGAGGAGGCAGGAGGAGAACUCGUGAUUCUCUUGUAGACAAGAAGCGUGCAAGAUGGAGUGAGAUGCAAGGCUUCCAGUGACUGAGACACCAACCCACAAAACCAUCAACCUACCAUUUAUCCUGCCUCUGAGAUGUGCUGUGAUGGAGGUGGUGCAGAACUUGAGGGAUUAGCCAACCAAUGACUGGCCCAGUUUGAGACCCAUGCCACGAGCUAGAGCUCACCACUGACACUGCCUGGAGGGACAGGAACCAGAGGCUGGAUAAGUCAGAGACCCAGGAUAGAACCAAACAAUACUGACAACAGCAACAGCAGCAGCAACAACAGUCGUCAAUGAAAUGAUUACUGGUGAUACUCUGCUAUACUCGUAGACCAUCAUUUUCAUCAGAGAGGCUUCAUCCAGCAACUGAUGGGCACAGAUGCAGAGACUCACAGCCAAACAUUAGGAGGAGCUUGGGAAUCCUGCAGAAGAGGGGGAGAAGGAUUGUAAGAGUCAGAGCAGUCAAGGACACCAAAGAAACCUCAUAGAAUCAUAGAACCAGGACUCAUAGAGGCUCAGAGACUGAGCUGACAAUCAGGGAGCCUGCACCGGACUGACCUGGGUUUUCUGCAUAUAUGUUAUGGUUCUGUACCUUGGUUUUCUUGGGGACUCCCAACAGUGAGAGCGGAGACUGUCUUUGCCUGUUUUGCCUGCUUUGGGGACCUUUUCUUCCUACUGGGUUGCCUUGUCCAGCCUUCAUAAGAGGGGAUGGGCCUAGUCUUAUCCUUGGAAGGUCUGCCCUUUACUGAAGGGAAGCAGAGCAGUGGACCUGGGGGAGCGGGGGUAGGAGGGUGGAAGAGAGGGACAGGAAGGAGCGGAGGGAGGGGAAACUGGUCGGGAUGUAAUAUAUGAGAGAAGAGUAAAAAAUAUAUUGUAUCAAAAACAUAAUUUUAAAAAAGAAGGAAAUGGUCACCCUGUCACUCAUGCUGUCUCUCUGCUGAAACCCCAUCCUCAUCCCUGCUGAUUGUCACCCCUGGGAAAUUCAGCUGCUCUCUCCCUCCUGAGCAGGAAGCUCAUCUCUUGGCCUGUGUGUCUGAGUCUUCUACCUCCCUGAGGGCAGUAAAGGUGCUUACUGUGGAAAAUUUCAAGCAGACACCAAAAAUAAAAAGAUACGCGUCUCACAUAAUCCUUCCCCCCUUUUCAGAAGGCAGAGCUGGUAAUUUAUCUUUCUUAUCAAGCAUCUAUAACCAGACAGGGGUUGUGCAUGCCUUUAAACCCAGCACUUGGGAGGCAGAAACAGGAGGAUCUCUAUAUCUGAGGCCAGUCUGGUCUACGGGGUGAGUUCUAGGACUCACUAUGGCUACACAGAGAAACCCUGGGAAUGUAACUCAGUUGUUAGAGUACUUGCCCAGAGUGCAUGAAGCUCUGGGUUGGAUGCCCAGGACCACAUAAAUUGGGUGUGGUGGUACAUGCCUGUAAACCCUGGAUUUGGAAGGUUGAGGCAGGACAACUGUAAGUUCAAAGUUAGCCUUGGCUACAUAGUAAGUUAGAGGCUAACCUAAGCUAAGAGACUGGAAAAGGCAAUCAAACCCGGUCCAGUGCAAUGGCUCAGUGCGUAAGGGCACUUGCUACCAGGACUGACAACUUAAGUAUAAGCGCUAGGACCACAUGGUGGAAGGAAAGAACCAACUCCUAAACCUUGUCAGCUGACCUCCACUCGCAUGCCAGGCAUGCACAAACAAAUAAAUAAAUGUAAUGAAAAGUUAUUAUAAAGACCCAAACCAAAGAGUUUGUGUUGCUAUUUUAAGGAAUGCCUAGGCUUGGAAGGCUUUUGCUCAGAUCCUUCGGUGCCUAUAUUUGGAUGUCUAGUCCCUAAUGCUGGGAAUCUCAGUAUGGACUCAAUGCCUGACUGCUCCGGGGAGUCGGUUCUCUCCUGCCACCACUCGGAUUCCUGGGAUGGAUGGACGGG